rnacentral:rRNA from 1 species
AUAAGAUCCGUAGUCGAAAGGGAAACAGCCCAGACCACCAGUUAAGGUCCCCAAAUAUAUGUUAAGUGGAAAAGGAUGUGGGGUUGCUUAGACAACCAGGAUGUUGGCUUAGAAGCAGCCACCAUUGAAAGAGUGCGUAAUAGCUCACUGGUCGAGUGACCCCGCGCCGAAAAUGUACCGGGGCUAAACAUAUUACCGAAACUGUGGAUGAACCUCUUUAGAGGUUCGUGGUAGGAGAGCGUUCUAAGGGCGGUGAAGUCAGACCGGAAGGACUGGUGGAGCGCUUAGAAGUGAGAAUGCCGGUAUGAGUAGCGAAAGAAGGGUGAGAAUCCCUUCCACCGAAUAUCUAAGGUUUCCUGAGGAAGGCUCGUCCGCUCAGGGUUAGUCGGGACCUAAGCCGAGGCCGAUAGGCGUAGGCGAUGGACAACAG